AUUAUGAUGAAAUUUCUUUAUUCUGAGCAUCUUAAAUGAUGCUUAUUAACCUCUAAGAAGAACUGAAUGA